ACAUAGGGAUUCACUUGCUACCCAAGGAGCUGGCAUUUUAGGUUACAGGGGACUAACCAUGUCUGUUUUUCACAUUUAAUGCAUAUUGGUAAUUUUUUGUUUGAUGGUAGAUUUGACAGAAUGAAACUAGAUCAGAAUGUGUUUUUGUUGGACUUACUGUUUCUGGCGAGGGUUCCAUCUCAUAUCAAGUUGAUCAAACUGCCUAGGGAACUGUAUUUUAUUCUUACGGAGAUUUCCUCUUGGGCUGGAAAUGUAGAUUUCAAGGGCUUUUAUUGGACCAUGAGAAGAUCUUCAUCUUGCAGUAGAUUCAAAGGAGCCUUUAGUUAUCCACUUUGACAUAGUAUUGUGGCAUGGGUUACUAGUUUACCACGUCUCAAGCGUUUUCUUGGUGCUGUGUUUCUACUAGGAAAUCCUUAGCUAGAACGCUGUUCAGACAAGGAGUAAGGGAUGGAUAGGAUUGUGACUUGCCUAUGAUUGCCUAGAAUUCCUCUUGUUCCUCAUCCCCAAAUCAGUUAAGGAGCACCCAAGGAAUUUGGUAUGUUUCCUUACAUCGCUUUUGUAUAAUGAAUUUCAUUGGGCUUUUCAGGAUGUUAGCAGCUGCCUGCCAUGCGGUUAAUGUAACAUGAAUAACUGAAACUCCUAUAAUUUCAUCUUAAAUGUACCAUAGGAAUUUUUUUUGUU